CCGAAGAGUGCAAUCACGGGAGACAGACAUCGGGUGCUAACGUCCGGUGUCAAGAGGGAAACAACCCAGACCGCCAGCUAAGGUCCCCAAAUAUAGCUAAGUGGGAAACGAAGUGGGAAGGCUAAAACAGUCAGGAGGUUGGCUUAGAAGCAGCCACCCUUUAAAGAAAGCGUAAUAGCUCACUGAUCGAGUCGUCCUGCGCGGAAGAUGUAACGGGGCUAAGCUAUAUACCGAAGCUGCGGAUGCACAUUUAUGUGCAUGGUAGGAGAGCGUUCCGUAAGCCUGCGAAGGUGCAUUGUAAAGUGUGCUGGAGGUAUCGGAAGUGCGAAUGCUGACAUGAGUAGCGAUAAAGGGGGUGAAAGGCCCCCUCGCCGUAAGCCCAAGGUUUCCUACGCAACGUUCAUCGGCGUAGGGUGAGUCGGCCCCUAAGGCGAGGCAGAAAUGCGUAGCUGAUGGGAAGCAGGUCAAUAUUCCUGCACCAUUGUUAAAUGCGAUGGGGGGACGGAUCGCGGAAGGUUGUCCGGGUGUUGGAAGUCCCGGUCGCUGCGUUGGAGAAGGCACUUAGGCAAAUCCGGGUGCAGAAUUCAAGGGCGUGGCGCGAGCUUCUUA
rnacentral:rRNA from 1 species